UACGUAGGGUGCGAGCGUUGUCCGGAAUUAUUGGGCGUAAAGAGCUCGUAGGCGGCUUGUUGCGUCGGAUGUGAAAGCCCGGGGCUUAACUCCGGGUCUGCAUUCGAUACGGGCAGGCUAGAGUUCGGUAGGGGAGAUCGGAAUUCCUGGUGUAGCGGUGAAAUGCGCAGAUAUCAGGAGGAACACCCGUGGCGAAAGCGGCUCUCUGGGACGGUACUGACGCUGAGACGCGAAAGCGUGGGGAGCAAACAGG
rnacentral:rRNA from 1 species